CAGCAAGCAUGAAUGGAGAGGAGACAGCGUGUUAAGGGAACUGGCAUUUCAGCCUGAAUUUGGCCCCACGCUGAGAGCUUUUACCUCUGAUGGGAAAGAUAUUCCUAGGCGCCAAACUAAGAGGCUAAGGUAUAAAGGGGCUUAUUACAACAAGAUGGCAGGAGGUAAAAUAAAAUGCAAUACAAUGUUAAAAGUACAAUGAGGAAAAUAUAAUUAAAAAUACAAUGUAAAAAAUGGCAUGGAUCCACGCUGUUACAAAUAGUGAUAAAGGAAUGUAAAAAUACAUUUACCUCUGAGGAGUUCCUACAGCUGCAAACCGGACAUGACACAGUAACCUCUCGGCAGGAGGUGUAAUGAAGAAUAGAGCAGUCCCACAUUAGACGGUUUGCGCAAGUGAAGGAAAGCAAUCCAAGUAAAAAUUCUGAUUCAAUGUUUACUAUUACAUCAUUGAAACUCCCUUUAUGAAAGAAAAUGCACAUGUGCAAUGCUGUGGAUGAACACAAGGUUGUAAAAGAAUAAAUCCUAACAUAUUGAAACCAGCGAGCCCUGCGGCACAAUGAAUGAUUGGCUGAUAGAUGGAAAUGUCACUAGACCAAAAUCACAUCUAACAUGGGGGGCGGAGCCAACAGCCGAUCAUGAUGGCCGCAUUAUACUG